ACCUGAGUGGCUCAGUCGGUUGAGCGUCCGACUUUGACUCAGGUCAUGAUCUCGCGGUCUGUGAGUUCAAGCCCCGCGUCGGGUU
rnacentral:tRNA from 1 species